UUUUUUUUUUUUGUUUUUUUUUUUUUUUUUUUUUUUUUAUGUAAAUAUUUCUCAUCGCGUUUUUGCUCUUGUAAAUACCGUAUUAUUAUUAUUAUUUUACUUAAUAUUUCCUUUUCUUUAGAGUAAAAAAAAAAAAAAAAAAAAAAAAAAACCAAUCGCAUUUCUAAACAAUAUGACAAUUUUUUUUUUGUUUUUUUUUUUUAACUGACAUUAUUAAAUUAUCGUUUCCCCCCACCCACCCCCACCACACAUUACCCGGAAGACGACGGUGGUUAUGAUUUCUGACCGACGGAGCGGUUUCCGGUUUUUUUUUUCCGUGUACUAUUACCAAAAUUUAUAUUAUACGCGUAUCCAUACCAAUAUAAAUAUUCAAAAAAAAAAAAAAGUUCCUAUGCGUGAUAUUAUUAUGAUUUAUUUUGUAACAAUGAAAAAUAUUCGAAUAACUGUCGUUUCUAUACCUACUUAUAAAACAUUAAUUAUUAUUGUUAUUUUCUUUAAACAAUAUUAAAACACAGAGUAUUUUUGAAAUGCUGAAAUCGGGACCAUUUUUUUCUUUUCUUUUAAGAAUAGCAUACACAUCACACGUAAAUAUAACAAUAUUACAAUAAAACUUUUUCUUAAAUUUUAAGUUAGACAGUUAAAUACUUAUCCCAUUUUCUGUAUAAUAUACCUACCGUUAUUUUUUUUCCAUGCGUUUAUACAUAUAUAUAUGUAUUUUUUUCUUUUUGUUAAUCGUUCUAAUAAAAUGUAUGUACUUUAUUUUUGAAAAAAAAAUAAUAAAUAUUUUUUGGAAUUGUGUAAGUUUUUAAUGAUAAUUAAUUAUUAUACUUAUUAAUUUUUGUGUAAGUACUACCAUUGAAUAUAAGUCAAUGAUACUACAUUUAUCUUUAAAAUAUAUUAUUAUAAUAAUAGUUAUUGUUCAAUGUUAGAUGAUAUAGAGUUACCUAUUUAUUAAUAUUACGUGUUGUAUUUUAUGUUUUUAUGGAAAAAUAAAACCAUUGUUCUAUAAUAUUAUAUUACACAUAAACCUACUCGACGAAAAAAUUAUAUUGGAUUAUUUGAACUUGGCCCGUUUCCUAAAAUAAUAAAAUUGUUUCCGUAUUUCGUUUUAGG